rnacentral:rRNA from 1 species
AUUGAACGCUGGCGGCAUGCUUUACACAUGCAAGUCGAACGGUAACAGGCCGCAAGGUGCUGACGAGUGGCGAACGGGUGAGUAAUGCAUCGGAACGUGCCCAGUCGUGGGGGAUAACUACUCGAAAGAGUAGCUAAUACCGCAUACGAUCUAUGGAUGAAAGCGGGGGACCGUAAGGCCUCGCGCGAUUGGAGCGGCCGAUGUCAGAUUAGGUAGUUGGUGGGGUAAAGGCUCACCAAGCCAACGAUCUGUAGCUGGUCUGAGAGGACGACCAGCCACACUGGGACUGAGACACGGCCCAGACUCCUACGGGAGGCAGCAGUGGGGAAUUUUGGACAAUGGGCGCAAGCCUGAUCCAGCAAUGCCGCGUGCAGGAAGAAGGCCUUCGGGUUGUAAACUGCUUUUGUACGGAACGAAACGGCUCGGGUUAAUACACGGGGCUAAUGACGGUACCGUAAGAAUAGGCACCGGCUAACUACGU